UGGGGAAUAUUGCGCAAUGGGCGAAAGCCUGACGCAGCGACGCCGCGUGAGGGAUGAAGGCCUUCGGGUCGUAAACCUCUUUCAGCAGGGAAGAAGCGAAAGUGACGGUACCUGCAGAAGAAGCACCGGCUAACUACGUGCCAGCAGCCGCGGUAACACGUAGGGUGCAAGCGUUGUCCGGAAUUAUUGGGCGUAAAGAGCUCGUAGGCGGUCUGUCGCGUCUGCUGUGAAAACUCAGGGCUUAACCCUGAGCUUGCAGUGGGUACGGGCAGACUAGAGUGCGGUAGGGGAGACUGGAAUUCCUGGUGUAGCGGUGAAAUGCGCAGAUAUCAGGAGGAACACCGGUGGCGAAGGCGGGUCUCUGGGCCGUAACUGACGCUGAGGAGCGAAAGCAUGGGGAGCGAACAGGAUUAGAUACCCUGGUAGUCCAUGCCGUAAACGUUGGGCGCUAGGUGUGGGGCUCGAUUCCACGAGUUCCGUGCCGCAGCUAACG
rnacentral:rRNA from 1 species